GAUGAACGCUGGCGGCGUGCCUAAUACAUGCAAGUCGAGCGAACAGACGAGGAGCUUGCUCCUCUGACGUUAGCGGCGGACGGGUGAGUAACACGUGGAUAACCUACCUAUAAGACUGGGAUAACUUCGGGAAACCGGAGCUAAUACCGGAUAAUAUAUUGAACCGCAUGGUUCAAUAGUGAAAGACGGUUUUGCUGUCACUUAUAGAUGGAUCCGCGCCGCAUUAGCUAGUUGGUAAGGUAACGGCUUACCAAGGCAACGAUGCGUAGCCGACCUGAGAAGGUGAUCGGCCACACUGGAACUGAGACACGGUCCAGACUCCUACGGGAGGCAGCAGUAGGGAAUCUUCCGCAAUGGGCGAAAGCCUGACGGAGCAACGCCGCGUGAGUGAUGAAGGUCUUCGGAUCGUAAAACUCUGUUAUUAGGGAAGAACAAAUGUGUAAGUAACUAUGCACGUCUUGACGGUACCUAAUCAGAAAGCCACGGCUGACUACGUG
rnacentral:rRNA from 1 species